GUCAUACUCCCUCUGUCCGAAAAUACUUGUCAUCAAAAUGGAUAAAAGAAGAUGUAUCUAGAACUAAAAUACAUCUAGAUACAUCUUCUUUUAUCCAUUUUGAUGACAAGUAUUUUCGGACAGAGGGAGUAUAUG
rnacentral:pre_miRNA from 1 species